rnacentral:lncRNA from 1 species
GCUCUGCACUGCUGCAGGCAGGAGGGGAGGACUUGUCCCCCUUGGGAUUGCUGCUCAGUAGAUGUUGCAGCAAGAGCCUGUAGCUGAUAUUAGUGGAUUUUGGGUUUUGUUGUAUAAAGAUGAUCAGAAUCUGGCCUGGGGUGAGGGUGUUUGUGCUUUGGCAGUGGGUGUGAAAGGAGAAACUCCAGAGGGUUGGGCGGCAACACUGGUUGUGUUCUCUUCCGUAGAUGGCCUUCCGGAGACACGCUGGCAAGAGCUCGGGGAUGCUGUUGGGUGCCAGCACCGUAAGGAGUCACCACAUGAGCGGCGGCCUGGGCAGCGCAGCAUUGCCGUCCUUAGCCUGCAGCAAACGUGA